UAUUGGCCCUUUCCCCAUUUCCAAGGUUGUGAACCCAGUGGCUGUUCGCCUCCAGUUACCCCGGUCUAUGCGGAUUUCGCCAACAUUUCAUGUGUCCCGGGUCAAGCCCUAUGUCCCACCUCGCUUCGGGCCCACCUCCAAUCCCCCUCCUCCCACCCGUUUUUUGGAUGGUGACCCCAUCUACACAGUCCGCCGUAUCCUCCGAUCCAGGAGGCGGGGACGGGGGAUCCAAUAUCUGGUGGACUGGGAAGGAUACGGACCAGAGGAACGAACUUGGAUUCCAGGCCGUUUCAUCCUUGACCAGACUCUCGUCAGAGAUUUUCGCCGCCUCCACCCUGACCAACCUGGGGGUCCGUCAGGAGCCGGACCUUGAGGAGGGGGUACUGUUAUGAUUCUGGCCUGUCUGCCUCCUCUGCUCUCCCUGUGAGCAAUCAAGUCCAGCUGCUGCAGUGCAAUCAGCAGCAUGCCUCUCAGCUGCUCACAAGCAGUUAUAAGUCAGCCUGUGGCAGGCAGACAGGGCCAGAUAAUUGCAAGCCGACAAGCCAGCAGUAUCCAGCACUUCAUGUACCUGACCAAGUUUUUGACCACGCCAUCGCCUCACGGAUUUUCCCUUUUUGCCCAGCCCUCGUCGGAUUUCUCUGCCUUUUGGACAACGACCCUGUUUCUGCCCCAUGACUUCUGCCUCUUGCCAAGUCCCCUGAAUAUUAAGCCUGAGUGAGGCUUCCAGGACCUCAAGCCUGCUUCUGUGCUCCACGUCACUAUCUGUUAAAGGAGCAGUCUGCUCUGCUAAAACUGCCGACCCCUGCUGAAGGAAGGACGCUGAAAAGUUAUCCCUGGUCCUCGGCGGAUGCACUCCUGAAGUCCAGAGUUCAGAAUAAACUGUUUAAGUCCUA